ACCUAACCAAUGACGUCAGAGGAGGCAAAACACACACACACACAUACUCGUCAUUUAAAUCCAAGCGGGAAAGCAGAAUGAACAUUGGGCUUUCGUGAAAUCUCCAGUGAAGGUCCACGUCCCGUUUGUAUUUUAUUGGUAAAAAUUAGGACAACAUGGUGAGGACGAAGGCAGACAGUGUCCCCGGAACUUACAGAAAAGCUGUGGCUGCAUCUGCACCCAGGAAGUCAUUGGGUGCCUCGAGUUCUGCUAAUGCAUUAAGCAGCUCUCAAGCAGGCACACCUGCAAAGAGUAAAUUUGCUGGUGGUAAUCCUGUGUGUACUCGGCCCACCCCAACUUGGCAGAAGGGAAUUGGAGAUUUCUUUGGUGGGCCCAGCAGGAAGCCUGACAAAGAGAACCACCUCCCCCAGUCAGAUGAUGAAGAGGCCGGAGUCAGUGGAGUGGCCAAGUCAUCCAGGACUUCCAGACCACUGCCUGCUGAGGAUGCUGAGGGUGAAUGAGCUUAGACAAUGGUGCCCCACUUGAAAAGCCAUUGCCUCUAAUACUUGAAUGGCUCCCUUCAACAGACUAAACUAUGGGUGACACGGCUUUCAGUUGAAUGGCUCCUCUGCUGUGGAGCGCACUUCCAGGCCUGCAGAGACUAUGGCCUCGUAAGGCACAGCUACAGGCUGCUGUUCAGAAAGGUAUAAGGAUGUGUUAAUCCUGUUCAUUGGCUCUGACACCUGAAUAUAACCUUGAUGUCUGCAUACUAUGUUCUGUGUUGGAUUGUUUUAAUUUUCUUUGGUGCCUUGGGUGAGGAAAGCACUUUAUAUUAAAUUAUUCUAUUCCCGCUUCCAAAA